CCUGAAGCAAUAUCAAUUGCUCACACGUGGAAAUAAAAGAGCCUCCAAGUGGUAAUACCUAAUCAAAUUGGGCCAAAAAUUAUGAGGCCUCACAAUACAAUUUGAAAUGUGUUUGGCUACAGUACAAUUUGCUCGUGGCACAACUCCCACUUCUAAAUAGUGGUACCAAUUUUUAGUGUUGUGUUCGUCCUAGCACAACUCCCACUUCUAAAUAGUGGUACCAAUUUUUAGUGUUGUGUUCGUCCUAGCACAACUCCCACUUCUAAAUAGUGGUACCAAUUUUUAGUGUUGUGUUCGUCCUAGCACAACUCCCACUUCUAAAUAGUGGUACCAAUUUUUAGUGUUGUGUUCGUCCUAGCACAACUCCCACUUCUAAAUAGUGGUACCAAUUUUUAGUGUUGUGUUCGUCCUAGCACAACUCCCACUUCUAAAUAGUGGUACCAAUUUUUAGUGUUGUGUUCGUCCUAGCACAACUCCCACUUCUAAAUAGUGGUACCAAUUUUUAGUGUUGUGUUCGUCCUAGCACAACUCCCACUUCUAAAUAGUGGUACCAAUUUUUAGUGUUGUGUUCGUCCUAGCACAACUCCCACUUCUAAAUAGUGGUACCAAUUUUUAGUGUUGUGUUCGUCCUAGCACAACUCCCACUUCUAAAUAGUGGUACCAAUUUUUAGUGUUGUGUUCGUCCUAGCACAACUCCCACUUCUAAAUAGUGGUACCAAUUUUUAGUGUUGUGUUCGUCCUAGCACAACUCCCACUUCUAAAUAAGGAGAAUAUAAAAUAAAAAAUGUUAUAAUGCUCAAUAUUGUUCUAAUUUGCACCAGGUGGCUAAAACAAAUAAAAAUGAAGUAGCUCUCUUUGGUCUAAAUCAGUUUUGCAAGCUCUCAUUUUAAUAAUUAAUAGUGUCGUGAUACAGUAACAUGUUUAUAAUAGGCAGAUAUAAUGUUCUGAAUUAGGAUUUAGUUUUCUCUUCCACGAAGACGUAAAUUAAGUACCACGAAGUUGAUGAUAAACUUAUUUGAAUCUCGAAAUUUGAAAUGUUCCACAUAUAUCCAGCCUUCUUCUUUACUUGCUUAGCUUGAAGAUACAUGGGCAAAUUGGAUUAUCAAAUUAAACAUAUGCAUAAACUUCGACGAAAAAAAAUUGAAAGUGGAAAGAACCCGUAAAAUCAAAACACAUACAAAUAUGUAUGUAGAAAAUCCAAGUAUCCAAACGAACCGAAAGCUGAUACAAAUGUCCAUCAAAUUCCAUUAGCAAUACCUGCAUGUAUUAAUUAAGCAAUGAAGAAAGAAGAAUUCAUCAGAAUUGAGGCAAAUAAGAAAGAAAAUCAGGAGUUAAAUAAAUCCCAAAAAUAUAAUUAGGCAAAAAUGUAAGAUCGAUUGCAAUUUCAUUCCAGCCCUCUCAUUCCUUACCUCACAAUAUGUGAACUCCAAAAUAAUUUAUGUGCAUUUGUUGAACUUUGAAUCCCUUAAGUCAUCUACAAAAUAUAUGAUGAUUGAAUGAAUUCUUAGAAACCCAAGUUGAAAAAUUAGGUUAAAGUGAAAUAAAUUUCUUUAGGAGUUAUAUUUAUUUCAUUAAUGUAGAGAAUUAAUAAAAAAGAAUAAAACAAAGAGAGAAUAAAAGGGAAGAAUGAAGAGUAGAAAAAGAAGAAGAUAACAAGAUACAGAGAGGGAGAAACUGAGGUGAGAAAAGAAGAAAAGUAAUUAUAAAUUGGGAAAAGGAAGGUACACGUGGGUUGUUGUAUGGAUAGAAAGGACACGUAUAAUAGACGUGUCUAUUUUUGUUAAUGUGCCAUAAUUAAUUUU
rnacentral:lncRNA from 1 species